AUUUUUCUGUGACGCCCCCAAAUCCGGGUACUUAAAACCCGAACUCGGUGCUUCACGAUACCAUUUCUAUAAGCUGAAUCAUACAAUAGUAAUGUUACAUUCAAACUUAAUUUACAUACAUCAGAGUUUACUUCCCAGGUACGAGACCUUUAAAUACAUUCCUUACAAUACUUGAAUAGAUACCAAUACAACUAUAACCAUUAACUCAUAAUACACACUUAUUCGAUCAGCUUUCCUUUUCCUUUGUUCGUGCCUGAGCCUUCAGGUUG
rnacentral:lncRNA from 1 species